AAGGCCUGUUCAAAACCCGUCCGUGGUCUCCAUUGUCCCCAGGACAAAGUCCCAGGUCGGCAGCCUGGCGUCUGAGGGCCUGGCCCUGCUCACAACCCACCCUCUAUUUCUCCUCCCUCCGGUGGCCUCAGUUUCCCAAACAUGCCAUUGGAGUGCCCUUCUCUGCCCCAUCUACUCGCCUGCCCGCCUCACAAUGCAUUGCACGUGCUCUGUGGGUGGCGGUUCAGCUCAGCCAGCACCGGCUGGGAGGAGAGGAGACCCCCCAGAGAGGCCAGGUGUGAAACCACCAACGUGGUCACCGCCAGUGCCACCCUGCCCGGCCCCGGCAGCGUCCUCGCCUGCCCACCCCCAGCCCGUCCUUCCGACCCCAGCUCAGGUGCCAACUCUUCUGUCCCGUCUCUCUCCGUUCUGCUCUCUCCCUCCUCUGCUCCCCCACAACCACUUAAAACGGCAUGAGUGUGACAGAGGGGGAUGGAAGCUGGCAGAGAUGUGAAUGAGAAAAGAGGGAGAGUUGGGAUGGGGAAAGAGACUCCCCAAGAAAGCACAGGAAGAGGCAGGAAGAGGGAGUGGACGAGAAACCCAGUCCGAGAGAAAGACGGCAGAGGCACCAGCAAGAGAAACAAUGAAGAGAUGCAGAGCCUGAGAGACAGGGAUCCAGGGGCGGGGACCAGGACACAGGCUGGGAAGGAGCUGAAGGUCUAGAGACCAAGACACCCAGGACCCCAGCCCACUGAGGGACACCCCGGUUCCCCCCAACUCCAGCCUCCGUCUCUGCAGCUUCCAAGCCUCCCCUCGACCCGCUAGUCCUUUGGAAUUGUCCCCACCCUGCCUCCCCUGCUGGCCUCCUCUCUGCCCAGGCCGGUUGCCCAGCCUCCCCCACCCCCACUUCCUGGAUGGAGCCAGAGGCCCCUGGUACUCAAAGGGUUUUCCUGAUGCUCUCAAGGUGGUUCUGGAAGGGGGCCUCCAGAAACAACUGAGGAGGAGGUGGAGGCCAGAAAGGGAAUAGACUAGCGCAGGCCACACCGAGAGUCAGGGAGGGAGUGGUCUGCUGACCACAGUCCAGAAUCCUUAAACCACGGGCAAGAGAGAGACACAGACCGGCAGCCGCACAGACUCAUUCACAUCCUCAUUGCUGACACAACGCACAAAGACCAAGAUUACAGAAUAUUCCCAGACACCCCCAGACACCAAACACUCAGACCAAGACUCCUCUCCCAAAUCCACAGACGCACACCUGGCCCAAGAGGGAAAUACAGGGUCGCUACAGAAAAACAAACAAACAAACGUACGGACACGGGCCUCGCAAACAACACCGGCUCAGGGAUGCAGAUUGCAGACCAGGAGAGACACAAUUACACGCAGACAACACAGACAGACCGCAUCACCGAAACCCACCGCAUCCACUCCUGACCCUUCUCAAUUUUGCUCCGGCUCCUGACCCAUGAGUCCAGCCAGAGCCCGGGCCACAGAAGGACAUUGGCCCAGGCUCUGCCCUCGGGGGCUCCGGGUCAGAGGAAAGAGAGACGGUUGCAGCCUGGGGUGAUGGGGGCCAAGACCUGCGCAAAUGUGUCCGAUGAGGCUGCCACGCUCCAGGGGCACUUCUCCCAGCUCCUCAGCACCAGCCAGAGAGAGGCUGCACCCUUGCCUGUCUGCCAAGCCUCCGCUGCCCUCUUCACUCAUUGCAUACUCGGCACCUCUCCAGGCCCCGUCUUGAGCUGACUGCUGGGAACACAGCAACGACCAGGACAGCCCCGGGGUUCUGCCCUCGCAGGACUCGGAGUCCAAUGAGGGAGUCAGAUCCAUCCCCAGGCAGUGGUGACCAGAGCAGGCAGGACUGAGACGGGGGACCCCAGGAGGCUGUGGGAGCACAAAGGGGCCACUUGACCCAGGCUGGGGGUCGGAGAGGCCUUCCUGAAGGAGGGCGCCCCUGAGCUGAGAUCUGAAGGACAAGCAGGAGUGAGUCAGUGGCCUGCUAGGGAGUCUCGCGUCCCAGGCCAAGGGACCAGCCUGUGCCAAGACCCCGAAUUAAGAGAGGACUUUCAUUGGCCCGAUAAUUCAGUCGGUUAUUUAGUCAUUCCACAAACAUUUGUUUAGCCCUGACCCUAGGCCAGUCCCCGUGCCGGUCCAGAGAUGUGACUCACACUUCUUCCUGCUCUGAUAGACCUCAUGGGGGGGGGACACUGGCAGGAUCACACACACAGGCCCAGCGUUCACUUCCUGAGCAUCUACAAUGUCACAGGCGCUGUGUGAGGGCCCUCAGAUGGAAUAGCUCACUUAACCCAGAUGAGACCUCGGUUCACCCACCUGUCAUCCCACGACAGACAUAAAACCCAGGAGCUGAGACUGGAAUAGAGACGAAGACAGAGACAAAUGAGGCGAGCACGUUUAUUCACCCUUCCUUCCACGGGUUCCCUGUAGAGUCAAGGCUAAGGCGCACUGGUUGUCAGACGCAUCCUUUUCUGUCCCACCAACAGGGAAAAAAAAGCUGCCAAUAAAACUACGACACAAUAUUUCCUUAUCACUUACAAUUUUUAUUGUACACUUAUUGAAAGAGCUGCUUGUAGACUGACUUAGAAAAUACACAUUUUUACCAUAUGUCACUCAUGUGUGCAUCGAACUAGGAAGAUACAAGGGAAAUAAAUUGACUAAGCUGUUCCCAAAACCACACGGCCUGACUCUGUGGAGUCACUUCUGCCUCCGAGGAGUGGACGUGUACGCUUUGCCACACCACGUGUCCUCCGUGCCAUCAGCGGCGCCAAUGAUGCUAUUAAAAGCAGCUCCAUUAUCACUUCCAGGCAGUGACAGCUACGUCACAAUGGCUGCCUGGCUGACAGCAAUUGUAAGGUGCCAUCAAGUGUGACUCUUCCUGAUUUAGAAUUGCUAAAAUGUGGAGGGGAAGAUGCAUCUUAGAAUCAGUGAAGGUAUUUCCUCAGUGUCCUCUCUGUGUCCACCAGGCUGGGAACGCAGCGAUGACAGAGCCAGCCCUUUUAUCCAGGGAGGAAGUUCACGCAGAUAUGCACCCUGUGUGCCAAGGGCCUGUUGGAUGAUGUUCGGGACCCAGCAAUGACCAAGACAGCCCCAGCUGUGUCCCCAGACAGUGAGGACCCACAGGGUAAGCGCUUCCCUCGGAAUAUCUACACACUGUGGCUUCACCUUCUCUCCAUUCGCCAGAAUCCCGGGGAAACCUGAAAUUAGUCCCUAGGGUUUCAUUCAUUCAUUCAAAGACAUAGGCUGCCUCCUGUGUGCUCGGCACGGUUCUAGGCACUGACACGUGGAGAGUAGACACAGACGGCCCUCAUGGAGCUUAUAUUUUUUGAAAGAUAAAGAUAAUAAACAAAAAUAAGAUAGUGUCAAACAGUGAUGAGGAAAAAGAAGGCAGCAAGGGUGAGAGAUGGGUGAGGGGGUCAAUGAACUGCCUGUAACCGUGGCCACCAACAAUUUCUCCCAUCUCUGGAGGCACAUGCCCCUCUUCACAUCAUCCUCUCCCCUUGCUUCUGGGCUGGCCUCGUGACUUGCUUUGAUCAACAGACUGCAGCAGAAGUGACGUUCUGGGCCUUCCAAGCCCAGGCCUUCCGAGGGCAGCUUCUGCUUUCUCCUCCUCAGAGCCCUGAGCUGCCAUAGAGGUCGUGCCACCCUGCUGGAGAAACAGAGGCCACGUGGAGGUGAGCCUGAAGCCAUCUAGGACAUUCCUGCCCCAGCUGAGCUCCAGCUGAAGGCAGCCAAUACCACAUGGGAGUAGAAGAGCCAUCCAGCUGAGCCCAGCCAACCCAGAGACUUGUGAGAAAUAACAAAUCGUUAUUUUAGGCCACUAAACAGCCAAGUGAUUCGGGGGAGGAAGUGUACUGUUUUUGAUAGAGUGGUCCGGAAGGCCUGUCUGAGAAAGUGACAUUCUAUUCCAGCAGAGAUCUGAAUGAAGCGUGAAAAUUAAUCCAGGGAAACCGAGUUUAAAAUGGAGUGGGGAGACUGGAAGGGGGAGCUCUCACGAAGCACCACGGGAGGUCAGUUACAGGAAAGAGUCAAUUACAGACCCCAAAGGAAAGCAGUUGUCACUAGGAAGAAUCAUCUUCUACAGACCCCAAGAAGAAAUGUACGUUGCAUCCCAAAGAGAAAUCGACUACCCCAGGAACUCAGCCAAUGAGAAGCCAUCACCACCUUGAACUCUUGCUUUUCUCCAAUGGACUUUCAUUCAAAACAUCCCUUCCCAAUUUCCUCCUUUCUCCCUAUGAAAUAAGGUUCUCUCUUUUGAUUGUUGGACGUGCCUAUGGCUUUUGCCAUAGCAUGCAGGUCCUGAAUUGAAAUUCUUUGGUUUUCCCCUAAUAAACUCAUUUUGCAGUUAAAA